rnacentral:tRNA from 1 species
GCCCUCGUGGCAUAAUAGUUAAGCACUCAGCUGCUAACUGAAAGGUUGUUGGUUCAAACCGACCCAGUGGCU